rnacentral:rRNA from 1 species
ACCAGACUCCUACGGGAGGCAGCAGUGGGGAAUAUUGCACAAUGGGGGAAACCCUGAUGCAGCAACGCCGCGUGGGUGAAGGAGCGUUUCGGCGCGUAAAGCCCUGUCAGCGGGGAAGGAGAAAGACGGCACCCGACCAAGAAGCCCCGGCUAACUACGUGCCAGCAGCCGCGGUAAUACGUAGGGGGCGAGCGUUAUCCGGAAUUACUGGGUGUAAAGGGAGCGUAGACGGCUUGGCAAGUCAGUAGUGAAAUCCAUGGGCUUAACCCAUGAACUGCUAUUGAAACUGUCGAGCUUGAGUGAAGUAGAGGUAGGCGGAAUUCCCGGUGUAGCGGUGAAAUGCGUAGAUAUCACGCAGAACUCCGAUUGCGAAGGCAGCGCACCGGCGCCCUACUGACGCUCAGGCACGAAAGCGUGGGUAUCGAACAGGAUUAGAUACCCCCGUAAC